CAACUCUGAAGAGGUAAUGUCGAUGGACAUUUUCCUCGCAUGACAUGUAAUAGUCUUUAGCGAAACCAUUAACCUAUAGAAUGUACGUAAUUCUGAUUGUUAAUAAAUAAUAAUAAAAAAA